rnacentral:rRNA from 1 species
UACGUAGGGUGCGAGCGUUGUCCGGAAUUACUGGGCGUAAAGAGCUCGUAGGUGGUUUGUCGCGUUGUUCGUGAAAACCGGGGGCUUAACCCUCGGCGUGCGGGCGAUACGGGCAGACUUGAGUACUGCAGGGGAGACUGGAAUUCCUGGUGUAGCGGUGGAAUGCGCAGAUAUCAGGAGGAACACCGGUGGCGAAGGCGGGUCUCUGGGCAGUAACUGACGCUGAGACGCGAAAGCGUGGGGAGCGAACAGG